CCUACGGGAGGCUGCAGUAGGGAAUCUUCCACAAUGGGCGAAAGCCUGAUGGAGCAACGCCGCGUGGGUGAAGAAGGUCUUCGGAUCGUAAAACCCUGUUGUUAGAGAAGAAAGUGCGUGAGAGUAACUGUUCACGUUUCGACGGUAUCUAACCAGAAAGCCACGGGUAACUACGUGCCAGCAGCCGCGGGAAUACGUAGGGGGAAAGCGUUAUCCGGAUUGAUUGGGCGGAAAGGGAACGCAGGCGGUCUUUUAAGUAUGAUGGGAAAGCCUUCGGCUUAACCGGAGUAGUGCAUUGGAAACUGGGAGACUUGAGUGCAGAAGAGGAGAGUGGAACUCCAUGUGUAGCGGUGAAAUGCGUAGAUAUAUGGAAGAACACCAGUGGCGAAAGCGGCUCUCUGGUCUGUAACUGACGCUGAGGUUCGAAAGCGUGGGUAGCAAACAGGAUUAGAUACCCUUGUAGUC
rnacentral:rRNA from 1 species